AGCAUAUCAAUAAGCGGAGGAAAAGAAACCAACAGGGAUUGCCCCAGUAACGGCGAGUGAAGCGGCAAGAGCUCAAAUUUGAAAGCUGGCUCCUUCGGGGUCCGCAUUGUAAUUUGCAGAGGAUGCUUCGGGAGCGGUCCCCAUCUAAGUUCCCUGGAACGGGACGUCAUAGAGGGUGAAAAUCCCGUAUGGGAUGGGGUGUCCGCGCCCGUGUGAAGCUCCUUCGACGAGUCGAGUUGCUUGGGAAUGCAGCUCUAAAUGGGUGGUAAAUUUCAUCUAAAGCUAAAUAUUGGCCGGAGACCGAUAGCGCACAAGUAGAGUGAUCGAAAGAUAAAAAGCACUUUGAAAAGAGAGUUAAAAAGCACGUGAAAUUGUUGAAAGGGAAGCGCUUGCGACCAGACUCGCUCGCGGGGUUCAGCCGGCAUUCGUGCCGGUGUACUUCCCCGCGGGCGGGCCAACGUCGGUUUGGGCGGUCGGUCAAAGGCCCUCGGAAGGUAACGCCCCCAGGGGCGUCUUAUAGCCGAGGGUGCAAUGCGACCUGCCUAGACCGAGGAACGCGCUUCGGCUCGGACGUUGGCAUAAUGGUCGUAAGCGACCCGUCU
rnacentral:rRNA from 1 species